ACGCAAGUGUGAAACUCAAAGGAAUUGACGGGGGCCCGCACAAGCGGUGGAGUAUGUGGUUUAAUUCGAUGCAACGCGAAGAACCUUACCAGGGUUUGACAUCCUGCGAACCUCUUAGAAAUUUGAGGGUGCCUUCGGGAAUGCAGUGACAGGUGGUGCAUGGCUGUCGUCAGCUCGUGUCGUGAGAUGUUGGGUUAAGUCCCGCAACGAGCGCAACCCACGUUUUUAGUUGCCAGCAUUUAGUUGGGCACUCUAGAAAGACCGCCGGUGAUAAACCGGAGGAAGGUGUGGAUGACGUCAAGUCAUCAUGCCCCUUACACCCUGGGCUACACACGUACUACAAUGCUACGGACAAAGGGCAGCAAACUCGCGAGAGCUAGCAAAUCCCAUAAACCGUGGCUCAGUUCAGAUCGUAGGCUGCAACUCGCCUACGUGAAGUAGGAAUCGCUAGUAAUCGCAGGUCAGCAUACUGCGGUGAAUACGUUCCCGGGCCUUGUACACACCGCCCGUCACACCAUGGAAGUUGGCCAUGCCCGAAGUCGUUACUCCAACCCUUGUGGAGGAGGACGCCGAAGGUGGGGCUAAUGACUGGGGUGAAGUCAUAACAAGGUAGCCGUA
rnacentral:rRNA from 1 species